rnacentral:rRNA from 1 species
AUUGAACGCUGGCGGCAUGCCUUACACAUGCAAGUCGAACGGUAACGGGCCUUCGGGUGCCGACGAGUGGCGAACGGGUGAGUAAUGUAUCGGAACGUACCUUUCAGUGGGGGAUAACGUAGCGAAAGUUACGCUAAUACCGCAUAUUCUGUGAGCAGGAAGGCAGGGGAUCGCAAGACCUUGCGCUGAUUGAGCGGCCGAUAUCAGAUUAGCUAGUUGGUGAGGUAAAGGCUCACCAAGGCGACGAUCUGUAGCGGGUCUGAGAGGAUGAUCCGCCACACUGGAACUGAGACACGGUCCAGACUCCUACGGGAGGCAGCAGUGGGGAAUUUUGGACAAUGGGGGCAACCCUGAUCCAGCCAUGCCGCGUGAGUGAAGAAGGCCUUCGGGUUGUAAAGCUCUUUCGGCCGGGAAGAAAUCGUAUCAGCUAAUACCUGGUGCGGAUGACGGUACCGGCAUAAGAAGCACCGGCUAACUACGUGCCAGCAGCCGCCGCCGUAA